CGAUGAAGCCCUUCGGGGUGGAUUAGUGGCGAACGGGUGAGUAACACGUGGGCAAUCUGCCCUGCACUCUGGGACAAGCCCUGGAAACGGGGUCUAAUACCGGAUACUGAUCGCCUUGGGCAUCCUUGGUGAUCGAAAGCUCCGGCGGUGCAGGAUGAGCCCGCGGCCUAUCAGCUUGUUGGUGAGGUAAUGGCUCACCAAGGCGACGACGGGUAGCCGGCCUGAGAGGGCGACCGGCCACACUGGGACUGAGACACGGCCCAGACUCCUACGGGAGGCAGCAGUGGGGAAUAUUGCACAAUGGGCGAAAGCCUGAUGCAGCGACGCCGCGUGAGGGAUGACGGCCUUCGGGUUGUAAACCUCUUUCAGCAGGGAAGAAGCGAAAGUGACGGUACCUGCAGAAGAAGCGCCGGCUAACUACGUGCCAGCAGCCGCGGUAAUACGUAGGGCGCGAGCGUUGUCCGGAAUUAUUGGGCGUAAAGAGCUCGUAGGCGGCUUGUCGCGUCGGUUGUGAAAGCCCGGGGCUUAACCCCGGGUCUGCAGUCGAUACGGGCAGGCUAGAGUUCGGUAGGGGAGAUCGGAAUUCCUGGUGUAGCGGUGAAAUGCGCAGAUAUCAGGAGGAACACCGGUGGCGAAGGCGGAUCUCUGGGCCGAUACUGACGCUGAGGAGCGAAAGCGUGGGGAGCGAACAGGAUUAGAUACCCUGGUAGUCCACGCCGUAAACGGUGGGCACUAGGUGUGGGCGACAUUCCACGUCGUCCGUGCCGCAGCUAACGCAUUAAGUGCCCCGCCUGGGGAGUACGGCCGCAAGGCUAAAACUCAAAGGAAUUGACGGGGGCCCGCACAAGCGGCGGAGCAUGUGGCUUAAUUCGACGCAACGCGAAGAACCUUACCAAGGCUUGACAUACACCGGAAACGUCCAGAGAUGGGCGCCCCCUUGUGGUCGGUGUACAGGUGGUGCAUGGCGUCGUCAGCUCGUGUCGUGAGAUGUUGGGUUAAGUCCCGCAACGAGCGCAACCCUUGUCCCGUGUUGCCAGCAGGCCCUUGUGGUGCUGGGGACUCACGGGAGACCGCCGGGGUCAACUCGGAGGAAGGUGGGGACGACGUCAAGUCAUCAUGCCCCUUAUGUCUUGGGCUGCACACGUGCUACAAUGGCCGGUACAAUGAGCUGCGAUACCGCGAGGUGGAGCGAAUCUCAAAAAGCCUGGUCUCAGUUC
rnacentral:rRNA from 1 species